AUAAGAUGCAAUUUUGCGUACCGUUUCCUCUCGUCUUUUCUUUUUUUUUUUUUUUUUUAACUUUCUCCAAAGUACAACCUUUUGAUGUUAAGGUUGUAUAGCGGAGAAAAAAAACCUUUCAAAAAACAAUAAUAAAUAUAAAUUAUAUUACAACAUAAUAAUAAUAGUCCCAAAAGUGCGCUAGCGUUUUGAUUGCAUGUGAUUUAGAUGAAACAUAAAGUCUAAAUGAUGUGCGUAAAUCAUUUCAAAAACAUUGUAAUACACCAUAUUGGAAAAGAAUAAGCAUUCAUAAUACAUCAAAUUAUGAUUUAAUACAAAUAAACUAAGUUGUUGUAUGAAGAUCUUUAACCACACAAAGAUAUUAGCAGAUAUAUUGGAGCGUAAAUAUGCAAGUGCCACCUUUGGAAACGCACAGGAGGGAUGGGUUGUUUUUUAAGUAUUCAACUAGAGCUCUCUCUCCCGUCCCUGUCUCGGACACUCCACUGAAACUCCCCGGCCAUAUCUCCAGCUCUUUGAAAAGAUUGGAAAGGGGCUCCGCAGGAGAAGAGGAGAUGAGAGUGAGAGGGGCAGCGAAUGGGAGCAGGGUAGGGGCUCUAAUAGAAAGCUGGGAAACGGCGAGAGAAAAAGGAGAAAGUGGACAGCAGGACAUUAAAAGAAGAAGCACCAGCCACGGCGGUUACCAGUAGAGGAGCAGCUUUCUACCUGGAUAAAACCAGCUACCGAUAAGGCAAGUAAAAUAUUUAUUUCUCACUUCUCCUACGUUACACACGCAUGGCUCUGAAUGCAAGACUGAAUUAUCUGUGUCACGCCACAGGACCGUUAACUUCAAACCAUAUAGCCGACCCGGGCAGUGUCAGAGUCCCAACUUUUUAAAUACUGGACAGUUGCAUCUUCUCUUCACAUCAUCACCGAUUAUGAGACUCGUCCCCCCCGUUUUCCAGCUGUCCUCACUGAUUUGUACAUCAGAUAGUUAUUACAGGCUGCUUGUAGUACCGCUGGACAUAGGAGCGUUUUUUUUUUUGCACGUCCCGUCCCUCACCUGCAAGGCUAUUUGUUGUUUGAGCACAUAAUGAAAAGAUCGAUAGCAGGCUGUUUGUCUCAGCGAUAGUGUCACCGGAUUAAAAGGCUGAUCAAGGAGACCAACCGUUGCCCAUCUUUUAGGCUGUUUUCCAAUAGCCAGUUUAGCCACAAUACUGUCAGAUGCAAAUAUUACAGAUUGGCGCAAAAUCUCAUGCACCGGCAAGAACACGUUGUAUGUGAGAAAAGACUGCAGCGAGGAAAUGUGAGAUGGCAUACAAUGGGAUUUAUUUAAGCAGCAUUAUCGAUCUAAAGGGAUUGCAAUGAAAACUGAUUUAAAAUAAAUGAUGUAGUACGGUAGGCCAGGUUCGCUUAUUCUAGGUCAAUCAGUUUGUAAAAUAACCUUACAUAACAACAUUUAACUUCUUAUCUUCUCAUGGGUGCAUAAAGUUCAUGCAAAUCAAUCAUUUCACGUGAGCCAAGAAACAUUUAUUUUUCAUUUCCAAUUCUCUAAGUAGUCUACCUUUUUUUUAUUUGGACAGCAAAAUAUGACUAAUCUGUUAAAUGAUUGAAAACGUGCAAAGACUUACAUAAUCACAUUAUUAUUAAACAUGUCUUUCAGGUAAUGGAUGCAUUUGCGCAUUAGCAGCCGCCUUACUCUAAUCUCAUGCUUUGCUCUGCAACAGAUAAUUAGGGAUCUUGGAAUAUUUAAAUUCUAUCUGACUUUUUCUAUUUUUAAUCAAAAUUGAAUAAUCCAAAGAUUAUCUAUGGCUGUUUAAAUUUCCCCCCUGUAUUCUAGCUUUGUCAAAGGAACUUAUUUGUUAACAUGUAUAGGGAUACAGAGAACAUAACAGUUUUGCCAUAUCUGUGAUAAUCAAUAACUGAUGCUCUUUUGACGCAGAUACAGUAGGACGUUGUUAAACUCAGAAAUGCAGCUUCAAAACAGCUGAAACCAACAAGCAGAACAAUCAGUUGGGAAGACCCUGAGGUCAUAAGUGCAAGGCCCCCAAUAAAACAACACACGACCGUAAGGACGCGUUUAGAGCAUUUAAAACGAUGCAAUUGGAUGUAGGGAUUUAGAAAUGUACGAGGGUCUGUUAUUAUUGACUGUGUGUGAGCACACCAGGGUUACAAGCACAGCAUAUAGCCAGAUAGACAUUGUAUGGGUUUAGAGGUUGAUUCGCUUUUCCAGGGGGCCUCUGCUGAAAGACGCCUCCUGUGUGCACACCACUGUUAUGUUUCUGGACGCCGGGCUAAAGGGCCACAUCCAUGAUGCUGAUCCCUGCGACUUUAAACGUCUGCCUGCAAAAAUAAAAUGAUUAAACCACCAAAACCAAUAAUGUGAUGGACACCUCGAGCCUCGUUACACAACUCCAUGUUGGGUCCUGUCUGUUUGUGGGAAUAAUAGACACUGAUUAAUAGUCAAAUCGAGCAUGUGUGGAAAUAAGAUGCAGCUCCAAACCUUUAAAAUGACGUUACAGUGGAUGGUGGUUGGACUGUGCUUCUGUGUAUUAAGGAGAAGUUUGUCACUAAAGUUUUUUUUCAUUAAUAAUGAAGUGGCUUAAGAGUUAGUGAGUAAACACUUAGGCGCCGCUGACGUUACACGGUUUCCCCUGUUAUUCUGUGGAGAUUAAUUUGUAGUAUUGUAUUAUAUAUUGUUACAUUUUCCGACCACAUGAGCUCACUAACAUUAGAGCAAUGUGUUUUACAUAUGGCAUUAAAGUAAAAACAAGAUGUAAAUGUUCACUAUCUUAUCCAACAUAUGCCACAUGGAUAAUACAGUAAGAUAAUACAUAAAUGUAGUCCCUUAUCUAUCUUUCAACUAUAUGUUUUGAGUAUAAUUUGCUUUUGCAUCCGGAUUAUUUGCCUUAUGGAAGCAUACUGCUUUAUGAUGGGGCGAAUUUCUUUUUUAAUCACGCUAACAUCGUCAAAUAUAAAAUAACAUGAAUGCCUUCGACCAGUUUGAAACAACAGUGAUUUCACACGGUUUUAUAAGUGACAACCUAGUUGCUACAAUGAAGUUAGUGUAACUUUUCUCAACAGCUCUAAAGCCUCAGCCUUUACGUAUAAAAUGGAACUGGGGGGGGGCAAAGAAGAAAAAAACGGUUCACGGUGGUAAACAUAGAACAAACACUAACACUCAUAUUUUUGCAAGUCCUAAUUU